CAGGCAUCAUGAUUCCACCAGAGGUCU
rnacentral:piRNA from 1 species